rnacentral:rRNA from 1 species
UACGUAGGGGGGCAAGCGUUGUCCGGAUUUAUUGGGCGUAAAGAGCGUGUAGGCGGCCUGAAAGGUCAGCUGUGAAAACUCGAGGCUCAACCUCGAGACGUCGGUUGAAACCAUCUGGCUAGAGUCCGGAAGAGGAGAGUGGAAUUCCCGGUGUAGCGGUGAAAUGCGCAGAUAUCGGGAGGAACACCAGUGGCGAAAGGCGGCUCACUGGACCGGAACUGACGCUGAGGCGCGAAAGCGUGGGGGAGCAAACAGG